rnacentral:rRNA from 1 species
GACGAACGCUGGCGGCGCGCCUAACACAUGCAAGUCGAACGGAGUUAUUUCAGCAGAAGCUUUCGGGUGGACGCAGGGAUAACUUAGUGGCGAACGGGUGAGUAACACGUGAGGAACCUGCCCUGGAGUGGGGGAUAACAGUUGGAAACGACUGCUAAUACCGCAUAAGCGCACAGUGCCGCAUGGCAGUGUGUGAAAAACUCCGGUGGUGUGAGAUGGAUCCGCGUCUGAUUAGCCAGUUGGCGGGGUAACGGCCCACCAAAGCGACGAUCAGUAGCCGACCUGAGAGGGUGACCGGCCACAUUGGGACUGAGACACGGCCCAA